rnacentral:tRNA from 4 species
CACUAAGAAGCUAGCCAGCGUUAACCUUUUAAGUUAAAGAACGAGAGCCAUGACCCCUCCUUAGUGA